rnacentral:lncRNA from 1 species
AUGUGGCUGCUAUGCAGGCUUAUGGGGUACAUCACCUGGCCAUCCAGCCCGGGAAAGAUCCCCAGGUCCAGGGAGUCCCAGGGACUUGCCCGCACAGGAACUCAGGCUUCCUGCCUCCACAGCCACUGCUCCGACUUGUUUCCACAUUCCCUGUCUAGCAAAAUGCUAGAACUUUCAAACCAAAAAGAAAAGGAAAAAAAAAUCACACUUUUGCAAUUUAUCAAACUGGAGUUUCUCCUGUAUGUUCCCUUUGCCUCAGAGCUCGAUUCAAAGCAACACCCACCUCGUUCUGAUGUUUGGCCAAACCACCUCCGGCUUCACAAUGGGGCCAGAAACACGGCAAAGCCCGGCUGGGUCCAAGCUCUUCCAUCCUUCCUGAUCUUAAAAGCUCUCUCUCCCUCAACCUCAGACUUUCUUGUGGUAUUUCAAAACAUCUCCUUAUGAACCUGGACAAAACCUGAACAAUCAAGGCCUUGGGAAACUGGAACAUUGUUUCCUGAACCAUUUUAAACCUGAAAAAUAAUUGUGUGCCUGUGUGUUUUGAGUUCUGGAUGAAAGCCCAAAAUGAUGUUGUCUUGUACUUGAGCUGAUUUGUGCAAGGGACCCCUUUCUUCCUUGGGUGGAAUUAAUGUCAGUUGUGGUGCUGAGUGUUUUAGGCUUUGGGGAUGAUUACAGAGCACUCCCCUGAGGACAAGAGAUGCAUCUGGGUGAUGGAGCCCAGAGAAGAAAGCGAGCAUGCAGAGGGAGUGAUGGGCCAGCAGAAACUGGUGGGUUCAGUGGGCACAGCCACUCAGCCUCCCUGAAACCUGGUCAGCACAGAGCCAGGGGAUGUGCCCAAAAGCUAGACAGCCAUGUAGGAGCUGUCACAGAGGGCUGAAGUAGGUCAGGCCUGGGAGGUGAGCUGAUACCACUUGGUGGCUAAGAGGAAAGACUCUGGAGCCAGCCUACAUUGGGCUUGGACCUCGGUUCCUCCACUUCCAGUUGGGUGAACUUGAGGAAGUAACCCAGCUUCUCCAUGUCUCAGUUCCCCCACCUCUAAAGAAGGUGAUCUAGCACCUUCCACCAGCCAGGUUCUAUCCUGAGAUCUUCCCAACAACCAUCUAUAUAUUCAAUAACUAUCUGUCUAUAUACCCUCCCCACUUUGAGGGCCAAGUCAACGUCUAAAGAUCACACAAAUGCUCUGUGGGGGAGCCCGGCU